rnacentral:lncRNA from 1 species
AUCGGGAAAAUGAGAAUAUCUCCAUUUUUGAGCUAUGACGGCUUAAGGGCAGAAGGGGAAAGGCGCAAACCGACCUAGGAGUAAGUAUAUAAGGAGUCAUAGGUGAGAGGCAAAGGGGAUGGGCGAUACAGAGCAAACUUAGCACUUAGAGCAUUUAGGCAACUUUCUGUUUUUAUUAUUUCGAGCUGCGACUCAACUAGGUUUUGCAGUCUUAGAUUGUUAGAACUAGGAAUCUCGCCGACAACUCUCAUAGCCGAGGCUUCUACCUUGUUGUAACGCUCAUACGCGAAUU